rnacentral:misc_RNA from 1 species
AGCAGACAUGUUAUCUUCUAACAAACAAGGUGUUGUCACCAAUAUUCAGGUGAUAAACAAGGAGCAGAGUCUCAAUGGUACAAGUAAGUUGUCCAACAAGCAUGGAGUUGGCACUGAUAUUGAGAUGGGAAACAUGGGGACUCGCCACAAAACAGACAUGUUGUCUUCCCACAGAGGAGGUGUUGCCACCGAUACUCAGGUGAUAAACAAGGAGAAGAGUCUCAAUGGUACAGUCAAGUUAUCCAACAAGAAUGGAGUUGCCACUGAUAUUGAGAUGGCAAACAUGGAUACUCAC